CUCCCUCGCCCCGUUACACCUCACCCACCGCCGCUUCCUCUCCCCGCCCCCCGGCACGGCCUCACGCUUCCAGUCUCUCGCCUCGAAGGAGGCGGACGCCUCAAUCGUCUCCGGGGCCGGUGGGGCGCGGGGAGCGAGCUGCUCUCGGUGCUCGACCCGGCGCUCACCGUCGAGGAUCACUACUGCCGCCAGCGCGCCCAGGAGCAUCGGAAGGGCAUGGAGGCGGAGGGGUCCGGCAUAGAGGGGAUCUCGGUGGGCGGGCACGAGGCAUGCGUCACUGCGCCGUCCCCAUACUGCGGCAGUGGUCUAUUCAGCAACGAUCUGUACACUGCCUGACAUUUUUGUUUGAGCAGCUUCAGUAUUAUCUUCAUCUAAUUGCUUGUCAAGUUGCUAAUUGGAGUCUUCAGAUUCUUAGUCACAUUGUAGGUCAGUAAAUCUGAUUGUGUGACACCUUUGAGUGUUCAUCUGAAAGUUAAUUCUAGAUCUCGCUAGAGAAUGAUCCUGAUACAUGGAAACAAUCUGAUUUAUUCAUUGUGCGAUUACUUAGACCGGGCACCGGGCCUGCACCUUGCUUCAGAUCCACAAAUUGUCAAGCGCACAUGGUACAACCAUCAAGUUCUGGGAUAUUAGCUGGCUUAGUGCAGGCAGUCUUUUAACAAAGGAUGGAUGCGAGUAGUGAUAUGCUGAAUACCAUGGAUCUAUGUUCACUGAAGAUAAGUUCUCUUCCUGAAACUUACAAGCACAAACUUCCUUAGUCAACUCAAAGCUAAGCACGGUUAUAAACAAGAUGCUUUAAUAUAAUCAAUACUGCUUGAAUUUAUAUCAGUUUCCAACACUAUCCGAGUCUUUGAGCCAUUCUCUAAAAAUAAAAAUAAACACCUUGAGUGCUUUCUUACCAGUGCCUCCGAUCAAGUUUGGUUUUUUUAUAACCUUAUUAUAAUCCAAUAUUUAAUAUGCCAUCUAAUGAUCCAAGGUCUUUACAGGGAAAACAAUGGCAGUUUUAAUGCAAGUUCACUGAACAACUACCAUAUCUUUAUGUAGCAUUUGAUUGCUUGGAUGAAGUUGGAUGGCAGAUCCCCAUCCAGCUUUUAAAAGUUGGUGUAGGUGUUGCAGCUUCUUCAGUGCAGUAUACACUGGCAACUGGGAGCACACUUGAAUUACAUGGUUUCUCCAUUCAGCCCGCUUGCUUGUUGUUAAUGUCCAUCU